UACGAAGGGGGCUAGCGUUGCUCGGAAUCACUGGGCGUAAAGGGCGCGUAGGCGGAUCUUUAAGUCGGGGGUGAAAGCCUGUGGCUCAACCACAGAAUUGCCUUCGAUACUGGGGAUCUGGAGACCGGAAGAGGUGAGUGGAACUGCGAGUGUAGAGGUGAAAUUCGUAGAUAUUCGCAAGAACACCAGUGGCGAAGGCGGCUCACUGGCUCGAUACUGACGCUGAGGCGCGAAAAGCGUGGGGGAGCGAACAGG
rnacentral:rRNA from 1 species